rnacentral:misc_RNA from 1 species
GAUGAAGAACGUAGCGAAAUGCGAUAAGUAAUGUGAAUUGCAGAAUUCAGUGAAUCAUCGAAUCUUUGAACGCACCUUGCGCCUUUUGGUAUUCCGAAAGGCACACCUGUUUGAGCGUCAUGAAUACCUCAAUCUCCAUCUUUUCUUCGGAUUGAUGGGUGACUUGGAUGUUGAGCCCUGCUGGUAUGCUAUAUCAGCUGGCUUUAAACUUAUUAGCCGGCUCUGUACUGGAUCGGUUUGACUCGACGUGAUAAUAUUAUCGUUGAGGAUGCAAGUCUCAUGCAGCCGGAAAGUAUCAAAGCAGCUUCUAGCUUGCCUUUAGUGCACUUUUACAUUUUAGACCUCAGAUCAGGUGGGACUACCCGCUGAACUUAAGCAUAUCAAUAAGCGGAGGA